rnacentral:snRNA from 1 species
GGAUGUGAGGUUAUCUUGCUGUGCCAUCUGUCACUCCAUUGAUCACCAGGGUUGAUUCAGCUGAUCUGGCUAGCUAGGUGGAAGUCCUCUUCCUCCCUCACCACUCCAUGUGCAUCCCUCCCAAGGCUGUACACUUGGUCAAACAGGACAACCAUCCUCAACAGAGGAGUACCAGUCUUUGGUCAAGCCGCUUGAGUAGCUGUACUCCCCUGCUAAAACAUCCAAACAAGCUCUCAAGAAUGAAUAAGACCUAUUAUUAGAUAGUACAAUAAGAUGACUAAAGUCAAUAACAACUUAAUUGUACAUU